rnacentral:rRNA from 1 species
UGUGCCAGCAGCCGCGGUAAUACAGAGGGUGCGAGCGUUAAUCGGAUUUACUGGGCGUAAAGCGUGCGUAGGCGGCUGAUUAAGUCGGAUGUGAAAUCCCUGAGCUUAACUUAGGAAUUGCAUUCGAUACUGGUCAGCUAGAGUAUGGGAGAGGAUGGUAGAAUUCCAGGUGUAGCGGUGAAAUGCGUAGAGAUCUGGAGGAAUACCGAUGGCGAAGGCAGCCAUCUGGCCUAAUACUGACGCUGAGGUACGAAAGCAUGGGGAGCAAACAGGAUUAGAUACCCUGGUAGUCCAUGCCGUAAACGAUGUCUACUAGCCGUUGGGGCCUUUGAGGCUUUAGUGGCGCAGCUAACGCGAUAAGUAGACCGCCUGGGGAGUACGGUCGCAAGACUAAAACUCAAAUGAAUUGACGGGGGCCCGCACAAGCGGUGGAGCAUGUGGUUUAAUUCGAUGCAACGCGAAGAACCUUACCUGGCCUUGACAUACUAGAAACUUUCCAGAGAUGGAUUGGUGCCUUCGGGAAUCUAGAUACAGGUGCUGCAUGGCUGUCGUCAGCUCGUGUCGUGAGAUGUUGGGUUAAGUCCCGCAACGAGCGCAACCCUUUUCCUUACUUGCCAGCAUUUCGGAUGGGAACUUUAAGGAUACUGCCAGUGACAAACUGGAGGAAGGCGGGGACGACGUCAAGUCAUCAUGGCCCUUACGGCCAGGGCUACACACGUGCUACAAUGGUCGGUACAAAGGGUUGCUACCUAGCGAUAGGAUGCUAUCUCAAAAGCCGAUCGUAGUCCGGAUUGAGUCUGCAACUCGACUCCAUGAAGUCGAUCGCUAGUAAUCGCGGAUCAGAAUGCCGCGGUGAAUACGUUCCCGGGCCUUGU